GGCUGCAGUUCACAAACAGCUGAAUGCCAAUGUGGAGGUUGGCCAUCUGUCCACACCUAUUUGUCCUGUGGGUGAGCAGCUCGCUGCUCCUUCAGCAGAGUCCGAGCUGGUGCAUUAUGGAGCCGCCUUAGGAAGAUAAUGUUCAGGACUGGAAAGAGAGUCAAUGUGUACUCAGUGCACCUGCUGGGGGGCCUCAUCAGAGAUGUGAAGACAGCCUUGCCUUACAAGUCAAUUAUUUGAGGUAUGGUAGGAGGGGCUGGCUGCAGUUCACAAACAGCUGAAUGCCAAUGUGGAGGUUGGCCAUCUGUCCACACCUAUUUGUCCUGUGGGUGAGCAGCUCGCUGCUCCUUCAGCAGAGUCCGAGCUGGUGCAUUAUGGAGCCGCCUUAGGAAGAUAAUGUUCAGGACUGGAAAGAGAGUCAAUGUGUACUCAGUGCACCUGCUGGGGGGCCUCAUCAGAGAUGUGAAGACAGCCUUGCCUUACAAGUCAAUUAUUUGAGGUAUGGUAGGAGGGGCUGGCUGCAGUUCACAAACAGCUGAAUGCCAAUGUGGAGGUUGGCCAUCUGUCCACACCUAUUUGUCCUGUGGGUGAGCAGCUCGCUGCUCCUUCAGCAGAGUCCGAGCUGGUGCAUUAUGGAGCCGCCUUAGGAAGAUAAUGUUCAGGACUGGAAAGAGAGUCAAUGUGUACUCAGUGCACCUGCUGGGGGGCCUCAUCAGAGAUGUGAAGACAGCCUUGCCUUACAAGUCAAUUAUUUGAGGUAUGGUAGGAGGGGCUGGCUGCAGUUCACAAACAGCUGAAUGCCAAUGUGGAGGUUGGCCAUCUGUCCACACCUAUUUGUCCUGUGGGUGAGCAGCUCACUGCUCCUUCAGCAGAGUCCGAGCUGGUGCAUUAUGGAGCCGCCUUAGGAAGAUAAUGUUCAGGACUGGAAAGAGAGUCAAUGUGUACUCAGUGCACCUGCUGGGGGGCCUCAUCAGAGAUGUGAAGACAGCCUUGCCUUACAAGUCAAUUAUUUGAGGUGGUUGUGUUGUCCUGCAGUAGUGGGCGCCAGUAGAGGAAUCUUCCAAAAUGGAGUCUGAUAUGGACAUGCAUAUAAAACAGCUAUGUGUGAUUAAAUUCCUCACUGCUGAAGAAAUCACACCAACUGAAAUCCACUGACACUUGCUUAAGGUGUAUGGAGACAAUGCAAUACACGUAAACAAUGUGAGGCGAUGGGUGCAGCUUUUUCGAGGUGGUGGAAAGGGUUUGCAUGGCAAGCCAUGGCCUGGUCGACCCUGUACAGCUAUCAUCCCUCGCAUCCCUCGCAAGAGCAUCAUGAUCAACUUAUCCAUGCUGAUUGGCAGCUAAUGACCAGAGAAUUGUGUAGAAAGCUGAAUGUCGGCUGUAAUGCCUUGGAAACAGUGUUGGAACAUCUUGGUUAUUGCAAGAUCUGUGCGACAUGCGUCUUGCUGGAUCAAUACGAAGCUCGAGGUGACAGUUUUCUGAAUAGCAUUGUCACCAGAGAUGAGACAUGGCAUCACCACUUCAAGCCAGAAUCCAAACGACAGUCCUUUGAAUGGCAACAUGUGAAUUCUCCGUCAAAGAAGAAAUUCGAGUCACAGCCAUCUGCAGGCAAAGUGAUGUUCACAGUCUUCUGUAAUAGCCAGGAUGUGGUUCUUUUGGAUGUCCUGGAUCCUGGAGAAACUUUCAAUUCAGCAUGCUACAGGAUGACACUUACUAAGCUGAAAGCCUGAAUUUCCAGGGUGAGGUCAGAGAAGAAGACCGCUUUCAACUGCAACAUCACAACACUGGACGCCACACCAGUUUUGCAACCACACAACUCACUGAAAAAUUGACUGGACUGUCUUACCACCUGCACCAUACAGUCUGGAUUUAGCACCUUCAGACUUCCAUUUCUUUGGGCCUCUAAAAGAUGGACUACAUGGUGAACAUUUUCAAGACUCAGAUUCUGUUGUCAAAGCUGUAAGGAAGUGGUAAGCCUCAGCUGGUUCUAAUUUUUACAAGUGUGGCAUGCAAAAGUGCAUAACAAAUGGUGGUGUCUAUGUGGAAAAAUGACAGUCUGUAGCUGACAUAUUGCUCUAUUUAGCUAUGCUGUUAUGAUUUAUGUAUACCCUGUAGUUUCCAUGAAUAAAAAUAGGAGGCCUUACUUGGGGAAUAACCCCUUGUAAGUGUUCUAAUGUGCUGAGGCCAAAGUACCUCAAAGGCAAGGAAAUACACAUGUAACAGGUCAGACAUCAACUGAUAACACAUGGAACCAGAUUUAGAUGUUGUUCUCAGUAUUGCCAACAGUCCAGCCACAUUGCAUUGGUGUUUGUGAAUUGUGAUUUUUAGGUGUUCAACACAUUGUAUGUUAUGUUAUUGAUUAUGAAAUGUUUGCUGUGCUUAUAUAUGUUUCAUAAGAGAUCUUGUAUGCUUUGUGCUCAGCAGGAACAGUUAUGAGUGCUCCAAGUAUAGUGUAAAAUUAUAUCCAUUGAGCUACUGUAGAAAAAGGUUACAUACACAGAAACGAGAAUCUGAGUAAAAAAAUAGGUUAUUUUGAGAUGCACACAUAUAGUAAAAGUGAAACACUGUGGUAUAUAAUUGACCUCAUUAAUGCAAAUAGACAGGAGACUAUCCCAUGGGUUUGCAAAGUUACUAGGCUGUUAUGUAAUUCCAGUUUGGCUUUGCAAUCAAGCUUGACUAUCUUUUAUUCUAUUAUUUUUGGAUGCAAGAUUCUACACCCUAUAAAGAAAAUGCUAUUGAUGCAGAGUUCAGUGAGAGCACAAAGAAUGUGGUCCACUAAUUAAGUAGUUAUUAUAUAUGUCAGUUUUGGUCUUGCAAACAUGACCAAAAGGACACAUGCCACUUUUAUAAUUAAGACAAGGGCAGCCAAUGAUCACUUCAGUGCAGAUGCACACCACACUUGAAAUUUUAAGGGAAUUGGUGAACUCUCACAAGUAAUGAAGAUAACAAGCAAGGGGCACUGUGUUGGCAGUGUGUGUUUAAGUUAACAAUUUACAUCUGACGCAGGUAUGCUAGGGCAGUCUGUGCAGUUACAAUGACCACUGUGUCUGGAUGGCGCAGUGGCCAGCACAUCUGCCUAGUAAGCAGGAGACCUGGGUUUGAAUCCCAAUCCAGCAGAAAUUUUCAACUUUCCACAUUGAUUUAAACCAACGACCACUGGCAGCUAAUGUCAUCAAUUCCUUUGUGUCUUAAGUGUGAUACAUGGCUAUUUUUUUGAGAAUUAUCUAUCAGAAAAGAAUGGUUUGAGAGCCAAUAUAUUUAUCAUUACUAUCUAGUCUUUGGGGUAUAUGUUCAUUUUAAUAUAAGGUGCAAUUUGAGAGUCAUUCUUAUAGUGUCCUUGUAGUGUAAGGUUCUUCGUUUGCACAGUAAUUAGUGCUUUUCUGUUGUGAGAGUAAUUUAUAAUGUUCAUAAGUGUAUCAGUGAGGAUAGAUCCUUACAGGAAUUUACUGAAUCCUUUGUCAUGUAUGUUUUGCUAAUGGCACAUUUAUUUCUGUUCAAGGUAAUUAUACCAUUCGCAAUACAUUUCAGUGUUGUCAUACUAUAUGCAUGUCAGGUCCUUUGUUCAAAGUAACUUUUCCCAUAUGAGUCAAUUAUUUGAGGUAUGUAUCUUGUGUGAGUCAUUUGAUGUUAGCAGUUCCUGAUCCCAUCACCUACCACUACACAUUUACCCAUAAGCUUUGCCAGCCUCCCCUUCCCAUACCUAUUGCAGUACAGGCCAUGCCUAGUGAAAACCGAUCUACUGAUAGACCCAACUGGCACCACUGAAAUGUGACCCAUGCCCUCUGCCAUCAGCGCCCUCUCCAACCCCUUGUUAACACACGUGAUAGCCGCAUCAAGUUGAGGCCUGUCAUGAUGCUGAAACAGUUGCACGAAAUGCACAUUAGUGCCACCAGUCGAGUAGCUAUCUUUACCAGGUCACCACGUACAUGAUAUUCCCCAUCCCUAUCAAGACUGUUCCCUGCUCCACCCACUAGCCUCCUUCGUAAAAUUCCUAUAUAACUCCCCUAUGCUGUCAGUCAUCUGAGCUGACCUUGCUCUAGGCUUCACAAUGCUGGUGACCUGGCACUCACUCCCCAACACUUCCUGCAACUGCUGGCCCACAACUCUACCAUGCAGACUACCUAGCAGCAGAACCUUUUUCUUUCUGUUAUACUUUGCAACUGAUCUAGGCAUCCUAACUGCUAAGGACUGUUUCACGUUCCCUACAUCUAUAGCUACAAGAGGCUCCUCUCCACUCAACUCUGCAUAUACACAAAGUAUAACUGUCUGAACACCUCCUCCUCUUAACUUCAUUCUUGCCAACUGCCAAUUCCCAUUCCCCAUCACCCUUCACCCUUCUCACCCUAUCUAGUUCCUCCUUUGUGCAUUGUAAUACACUCCUGCUCCCCUAUCAAACUAUUGUGAAAAUCUUUCAUAUACUCAUAA